CCCGCCGCCUCCCUGAGCGACUGGAAGCCGGCGCCGGGGGGGGUGGGGGGGGAAGGGCGCGGAGGGACGCCGAGCGCCGGGGCCACUGCGCAUGCGCGCGGGGACCCAUGAGCCCUUGCGAGCGGGCUCCCAGGAUCCCGGUCCCGGCGCCUAACGGAAAGGUCGGCGUCCGCUGAGACUUGACACUUGCUUUGAGGGGAAGACCUUGAAGGCUUUUCUUCCCCGCUCCUAAAACGGGAAAUGCAAAUCAAAACCACAAUGGGAUAUCACCUCAACACCCGUUAGGAUGGCUAUUACAAAACAAACAAAAGAGCACAAGCAGGGGGAGCAGCAGGGGAGAGGGAGAAGCAGACUCCCCACUGAGCAAGGAGCUUGAUGCUGGGCUGGAUCCCAGGACCCCAGGAUCAUGACCUGAGCCAAAGGCAGCCGCUUAACUGACUGAGCCACCAGGUGCCCCGUUAAAAAGGAUCAAUGGAGACAAGCAAAAUAGAAAUCAGUUCAACUCAAUUCUUAUAGAUGGAAAGACAUGGGAAAAGUUAUUACAAAACAGACUGACUUGCUAUGUUUGUCAUUGUGCCCUGGGCAGUGCCGGCACAUCUGACGUCAGUGAUCACAACCUCGCAUGAUGUGACCUCGGUGGAAGGAAGGGCUGCUGGACCUUACCUUCCAGCUUUUCCAUGAGAGGUGUAACGUCUAGGAGGCUUGUGACUGGCUGCCAGUGACUGGGAGAGGAGAUCAACCCUGGGAGUCCUCUAACAUCAGAGAGUAUGCCAUAUUUUGUUCCCAGAGGUACUCUUGCAAUUUGUGUAUACCUUGCAACCUGACACUCCUGAGAAUAUAUCUGCUGUGCUACAGGAGAGAUUAAGAAGCUCAUGCACGCAGAUACAAGUGCCUACCUUGCUGGAGUGAUGAAAGGAACAGAACUAAAGACACACACCUGGGGCAGGGUGGACACUCACCGGUGCCCGAGGAAAUGCAGCUAGUAAUAGCAGACGUAGCAGGAGGCCCUCUUUCUGAGCUAGAAGUGGGCCAAUUGAUCCAAAAAGUUGACACAAGCAGGAAAUCUCAAAGCAAAAUCCCUCCCCAUGCCCUAUAGUACCACUAAGAUCAUCAAACCUGUUCAUUUCAUCCCUCACGGUAGCUCCCAUCCCCACUCCUGGCCUGUAUGGUUGAUGUGAGUCACCCACCUCCCAAGGCUAGAAACACUGCUCCAGACAGAAAGUUUGAUCUGCAGCCUUGCUGGUUUUCCUGCUCACAGAGACCACAUCCAUGGCCACAGGCUGAAGUUGGAGGAGAAGAGAGUGGGGGUGGCAGUCACUGUGGACCACAGAAGAGGAAAAUGUGGGGAAAUCUGAAAUGCGGGGGAGGUGGCUGGGGAGAAGUGGAGGGAAGAGGAACCGUGAGGUGGGAGCUGCUGUGGGGACCAGCUGUCCCUCGUGCUGCCAUCUGGAGUGCACCAUCCACCGCCUGCAGAAUUGGGCUGGUCCCUGAGCAUCUGGUUUGGAGUGAGUGCUUUUGCCUUGGAGGCCUUGACAAGUUUUCUUUCCCCGUCUGCCCCUUCACAUGUUGGCAACAUUGACUCUUGGAAGCCCCAGAAAAUGGGGUGAAGGGAUGUGGACUCCUGGAGAGGUGAUGGCAUCCUGAAGGGAAACCCUUGCUCCUGUGAAACUGAGACGAACAGAACCAGGUUUGGCCUUGCCUCCCUGUUGGGAUGGUGUCGGAAUACCCCACCAUGUUAUGCAUAUUGCAAAUUGCAAACUCUAUGGAUUUAGGACUCUGUGUUUCUAAGUCAAACUGGAGACGACCUCCACUCUGAACUGGAAACGUACAGUUAACGCAAAAUCCACCUGCUCGUAUUGUAAUCAAACGCACACUUCUGACUUAGUUGUUCUUGCAGUUUAUAAUUAGACCGUGUUGUCAGAAAAAAAAAAUUGAAAGCAGCUGUGUUUCGGUGCUAUUCAGAUCUGUGACUGACCCAGUUUUCAAAAAUUAAAAAUGUGGCAUUGGUAUUCAUCACAUCUUUGCGCCUUGCUCACAUUCCUUUUUUUUUUUUUUUUGCCUUGCUCACAUUCUUAAGAUGAGCAUUGAGAAGUGUUUUCUGAGCUGUGAGCUUAUGGAAGAGGAAGGGCCUUGUGGCUUAGGACACUGACCAGCCCUCAAGCAAAAUGCCAGAGAUACAGCUCUUGCUGAGAUUUACCUUCGCUUGCUGAAAGGAAGAUGGCAAAAUAGACCUCUCCAAAGGGUAACCGUGAGAGCCGUAAGAAUCAAAAUGGUCAUCGAGUGGUUUACGCUGCUGUUCUCAAUGUUUUUGCCACCACUGCCCUCGUGAGAGCAGUGAGCUACAGAGCUGAACCCUUACUCAACUCUCCAUCCCAUCCCUAUGUGCAGAGAGCCUGGCUUCCAGGAUCCUCCCCAAGCUGUGCAAGAAAGUUGGUGGUUUAUUCUAUUUUUUUUAAAGAUUUUAUUUAUUUAUUUGAGAGAGAGAGAAUGAGAGACAGAGAGCAUGAGAGGGAGGAGGGUCAGAGGGAGAAGCAGACUCCCUGCCGAGCAGGGAGCCCGAUGUGGGACUCGAUCCCGGGACUCCAGGAUCAUGACCUGAGCCGAAGGCAGUCGCUUAACCAACUGAGCCACCCAGGCGCCCCGGUGGUUUAUUCUAAAGGAAUGGAAUGAAUGAGGACUCUCCUCUGUGUCUGGUCUUUAGGAUUUCCAAACAGAAUGGCUCUUUCUCCCCUGCUUGUUAUAAAGCACAGCUCUCAGCCUUCCUACACGGUAGUCUCAAGCAGCUCUCCUGUCCUCUCAUUCUUGGGCAUGUGUAUACCAUCAAAGAUGGCCAGACCGGGGGCGGGGGGGGAUGGGAUAACUGGUGAUGGGCAUUAAGGAGGGCACUUGAUGGAAUGAGCACUGGGUGUUAUAUGCAACUGAAGAAUCAGUAAGUUCUACCCCUGAAAUUAAUAAUCCACUGUAUGUCAACUAAAUUGAAUUUAAAUAAAAAAAGAUGGCCAGACAUUUAAGUAAGACAUAAAGGACAAGAAAAACUGACAGAAAAAAGUGAUAACACCAGAGGAAGCCAAGAUAACUCAGCAGAACAAACCAAAAAACGGAAUAAACACAUUUAAAAGGAUCCUCUAAUUAGUAUGCUCAUAAAAGAUGUUGCAUCUGCAAAAUAAGAACAGGUUGCUAUGAAAAAGAAAAACUCAGAGCGCAAAAUAGAGGCUUUCCUAAAGUUGACAACAAUCCUAGUAGUUUACGUGACAUCACCUAAAGUGAUCUACGAAGCAAAAAGGAACUUUUUUUUUUUUAAGAUUUUAUUUAUUUGCGAGAGAGACAAUGAGAGACAGAGAGCAUGAGAGGGAGGAGGGUCAGAGGGAGAAGCAGACUCCCCGCUGAGCAGGGAGCCCGAUGUGGGACUCGAUCCCGGGACUCCAGGAUCAUGACCUGAGCCGAAGGCAGUCGCUUAACCAACUGAGCCACCUGGGUGCCCGCAAAAAGGAACUUUUCUAAGCUAUUAGCUACAAAGAACGAAUUCUGGUCAACCGUGGGAACUGCAUUAUCUUUCUCUUCUCUCUUUUGAAAAUGAUAUUACAAAAUCAUUAUCCUAUGAAGAGGCUACCAAAAAGUAAGCAACUGAAGUCAUAGGGAAAAAAGUAUAUAGAGGUGUGCCACUCAGUGAAUUAGUAAAAGUUUUGCAUUUCUUUGGCUGUCAGCUUUUAUUUUUUAAUUUAAAUUUUGUUAGUUAACAUACAGUGCGAUAUUGGUUUCUGGAGUAGAAUUCAGUGAUUCAUCACUUACAUACAACACCCAGUGCUCAUCACAAUAAGUGCCCUUCUCAAUACCCAUCAUCCAUCUAACCCAUCCUCCACUCACCUCCCUCCAUCAACCCUCAGUUUGUUCUCUAUUGUUAAGAUCCACUUAUGGCUUGUUUCCCUCUCUCCUUUUUUUCUUUGCCCCUUUCCCAUAUGUUCAUCUGUUUUCUUUCUUUUCUUUAAAUUCCACAUAUGAGUGAAAUCAUAUAGUAUUUGUCUUUCCCUGACUGACUUAUUUCACUUAGCAUAAUACACUCUAGCUCCAUCCACGUUGUAGCAAAUGGCAAGCUUUCAUUCCUUUUGAUGGCUGAGUAAUAUUCCAUUAUCUAUCUAUCUAUCCAUCCUACAUUUUUAUCCAUUCAUCAGCUGAUGGACACUUAUACUCUCUGCAUAAUUUGGCUAUUGUUGAUAAUGCUGCUAUAAACAUCGGGGUGCAUGUACCCCUUUGAAUCUGUUUUUUUUUUUUUCUGAAUCUGUAUUUUUGUAUCCUUUGGGUAAAUAGCUAGUAGUGCAAUUGCUGGAUUGUAGGAUAGUUCUAUUUUUAACUUUUUGAGGAACUUCCUGCUUUUUAAAAGUUGUGAUGUGUUGUGAUUUCUUUUCUCAUUCUAAAUAAAAAUUUACUGUUAUAUAUAAUUUUGCUUUCAUAACUUAAUAUCUAUCUUCUUAGUGUAUGUGUUGCCAACGUGAGUACAAUAUUCUUUUCAGGCCCCAUAAAACUUGCAUGUGCCCCUAGCAGUGAGCUACAUUGCUUAUGGAUAGAACCCAGAAGGCGGCAAACAAAUUGCAGAAGGACAUAUGCUGUAAGCAUUCAAUUCAGACACCUUUCAAACACAGGACUCACAUUAUUUAGUGUUUAUAGCUGCACAUACUGAUAGUAAAAGUGUGAAAACAUAUGCUGGAAGAUACACACCUGAUUUGUGAGCAUAGUGGCCAGAGGGUAUGAGGUACUCUAUUUCUUACUUAUUUUCUGAAGCAAAAAUGAAAAAAUGUUACCAUAUCUGAGUGAAGGAUACAUGGGUGUUCCAUUAUUCUCAGUGAUUUUCUCUUUUCUAUUCAAAUUGUGCAAUUGUAAAGUCAGAUUCCCUCCAAAUUUGGAGAGCACCGUCAACAGUUUUCCAGUGUCCAGUAUUUGUCAUGACAAAUUGUGUCAGUCAGGUGGCAUCGUUUGCAGGUGACCUGCUUUUCCUCUCUGUCUCUGUGGUCCCACUACUUCACAAUGAUCUGUCUGCCUGAAGACCUUGGGUCCCUCAUCAUGCUUGGCUUCUGUGAACUUUCUAAGUUGAGGACUGCUGUCCUUCAGCUCCAAGUACUUAUUCUAUUAGUCCUCCGUCAAAUUUAUUCUUGCCAUUUCUGUUCUUUUUCUGGAUCUCCUGUUAGUCAGAUGGUAGACUUCCUAUUUUUGUCUCACAUGUUACUCAGGUUUUUUCCCCUUAUUUUAUGGAAGAUUUCUUUUACCAUCUUAUAACCCUUCAUUGAAAUUUUGGCAAUUAUAUUUUUAACUUCCAAGAUUUUUUUUUACUCCUUCAUAACAUCUUGUUUUAUUUUGUGGAUGCUCUGUUGUCUAUGAAGAUAUUAAUAAAAUGGUUUUAAUUAUAACAGUUGUUUCAUUUUUGUGUUGUUUGUGGUCAGAGUAGUUUAAACACAUAUACCAAUGUGGAUUUUUCUUUUUCUUAAAAAUUUUCUUAAAAAUUUUGUUUGUUUGUUUGUUUAUUUAAUUAGAAAGUGGAAAGAGGGGCAGAAGGAGAGAGAGAAUCCCAAGCAGACCCUAUGCUGAGCGAGGAGCCCCAUGAGGGGCUCAAUCUCACAACCUUGAGAUCAUGACCUGAGCCAAAAUCAAGAGUCAGAUGCAAUAUGGAUGGAACUGGAGGAGAUUAUGCUAAGUGAAUAAAGUCAAACAGAAAAGACAAUUAUCAUAUGGUUUCACUUAUUUGUGGAACAUAAGGAAUAGCA